AACAGGAUUAGAUACCCUGGUAGUCCACGCCGUAAACGAUGUCGACUUGGAGGUUGUGCCCUUGAGGCGUGGCUUCCGGAGCUAACGCGUUAAGUCGGCCGCCUGGGGAGUACGGCCGCAAGGUUAAAACUCAAAUGAAUUGACGGGGGCCCGCACAAGCGGUGGAGCAUGUGGUUUAAUUCGAUGCAACGCGAAGAACCUUACCUGGCCUUGACAUCCAGAGAACUUAGCAGAGAUGCUUUGGUGCCUUCGGGAACUCUGAGACAGGUGCUGCAUGGCUGUCGUCAGCUCGUGUUGUGAAAUGUUGGGUUAAGUCCCGCAACGAGCGCAACCCUUAUCCUUUGUUGCCAGCGAUUCGGUCGGGAACUCAAAGGAGACUGCCGGUGAUAAACCGGAGGAAGGUGGGGAUGACGUCAAGUCAUCAUGGCCCUUACGGCCAGGGCUACACACGUGCUACAAUGGCGCAUACAAAGAGAAGCGACCUCGCGAGAGCAAGCGGACCUCAUAAAGUGCGUCGUAGUCCGGAUCGGAGUCUGCAACUCGACUCCGUGAAGUCGGAAUCGCUAGUAAUCGUAGAUCAGAAUGCUACGGUGAAUACGUUCCCGGGCCUUGUACACACCGCCCGUCACACCAUGGGAGUGGGUUGCAAAAGAAGUAGGUAGCUUAACCUUCGGGAGGGCGCUUACCACUUUGUGAUUCAUGACUGGGGUGAAGUCGUAACAAGGUAACC
rnacentral:rRNA from 1 species